GGGUUGUGAGGUUAAGCGACUAAGCGUACACGGUGGAUGCCCUGGCAGUCAGAGGCGAUGAAGGACGUGCUAAUCUGCGAUAAGCGUCGGUAAGGUGAUAUGAACCGUUAUAACCGGCGAUUUCCGAAUGGGGAAACCCAGUGUGUUUCGACACACUAUCAUUAACUGAAUCCAUAGGUUAAUGAGGCGAACCGGGGGAACUGAAACAUCUAAGUACCCCGAGGAAAAGAAAUCAACCGAGAUUCCCCCAGUAGCGGCGAGCGAACGGGGAGCAGCCCAGAGCCUGAAUCAGUGUGUGUGUUAGUGGAAGCGUCUGGAAAGGCGCGCGAUACAGGGUGACAGCCCCGUACACAAAAAUGCACAUGCUGUGAGCUCGAUGAGUAGGGCGGGACACGUGGUAUCCUGUCUGAAUAUGGGGGGACCAUCCUCCAAGGCUAAAUACUCCUGACUGACCGAUAGUGAACCAGUACCGUGAGGGAAAGGCGAAAAGAACCCCGGCGAGGGGAGUGAAAAAGAACCUGAAACCGUGUACGUACAAGCAGUGGGAGCCUCUUUUAUGGGGUGACUGCGUACCUUUUGUAUAAUGGGUCAGCGACUUAUAUUCUGUAGCAAGGUUAACCGAAUAGGGGAGCCGAAGGGAAACCGAGUCUUAACUGGGCGUUAAGUUGCAGGGUAUAGACCCGAAACCCGGUGAUCUAGCCAUGGGCAGGUUGAAGGUUGGGUAACACUAACUGGAGGACCGAACCGACUAAUGUUGAAAAAUUAGCGGAUGACUUGUGGCUGGGGGUGAAAGGCCAAUCAAACCGGGAGAUAGCUGGUUCUCCCCGAAAGCUAUUUAGGUAGCGCCUCGUGAAUUCAUCUCCGGGGGUAGAGCACUGUUUCGGCAAGGGGGUCAUCCCGACUUACCAACCCGAUGCAAACUGCGAAUACCGGAGAAUGUUAUCACGGGAGACACACGGCGGGUGCUAACGUCCGUCGUGAAGAGGGAAACAACCCAGACCGCCAGCUAAGGUCCCAAAGUCAUGGUUAAGUGGGAAACGAUGUGGGAAGGCCCAGACAGCCAGGAUGUUGGCUUAGAAGCAGCCAUCAUUUAAAGAAAGCGUAAUAGCUCACUGGUCGAGUCGGCCUGCGCGGAAGAUGUAACGGGGCUAAACCAUGCACCGAAGCUGCGGCAGCGACGCUUAUGCGUUGUUGGGUAGGGGAGCGUUCUGUAAGCCUGUGAAGGUGUGCUGUGAGGCAUGCUGGAGGUAUCAGAAGUGCGAAUGCUGACAUAAGUAACGAUAAAGCGGGUGAAAAGCCCGCUCGCCGGAAGACCAAGGGUUCCUGUCCAACGUUAAUCGGGGCAGGGUGAGUCGACCCCUAAGGCGAGGCCGAAAGGCGUAGUCGAUGGGAAACAGGUUAAUAUUCCUGUACUUGGUGUUACUGCGAAGGGGGGACGGAGAAGGCUAUGUUGGCCGGGCGACGGUUGUCCCGGUUUAAGCGUGUAGGCUGGUUUUCCAGGCAAAUCCGGAAAAUCAAGGCUGAGGCGUGAUGACGAGGCACUACGGUGCUGAAGCAACAAAUGCCCUGCUUCCAGGAAAAGCCUCUAAGCAUCAGGUAACAUCAAAUCGUACCCCAAACCGACACAGGUGGUCAGGUAGAGAAUACCAAGGCGCUUGAGAGAACUCGGGUGAAGGAACUAGGCAAAAUGGUGCCGUAACUUCGGGAGAAGGCACGCUGAUAUGUAGGUGAAGCGACUUGCUCGUGGAGCUGAAAUCAGUCGAAGAUACCAGCUGGCUGCAACUGUUUAUUAAAAACACAGCACUGUGCAAACACGAAAGUGGACGUAUACGGUGUGACGCCUGCCCGGUGCCGGAAGGUUAAUUGAUGGGGUCAGCGCAAGCGAAGCUCUUGAUCGAAGCCCCGGUAAACGGCGGCCGUAACUAUAACGGUCCUAAGGUAGCGAAAUUCCUUGUCGGGUAAGUUCCGACCUGCACGAAUGGCGUAAUGAUGGCCAGGCUGUCUCCACCCGAGACUCAGUGAAAUUGAACUCGCUGUGAAGAUGCAGUGUACCCGCGGCAAGACGGAAAGACCCCG
rnacentral:rRNA from 1 species